GUAUUGAUGAAGAGUCCCAAAGCAGGCAGACGAAACGGCUGUCCAGUAC
rnacentral:hammerhead_ribozyme from 1 species